rnacentral:rRNA from 1 species
GACGAACGCUGGCGGCGUGCCUAAUACAUGCAAGUAGAACGCACAGUUUAUACCGUAGCUUGCUACACCAUAGACUGUGAGUUGCGAACGGGUGAGUAACGCGUAGGUAACCUGCCUGGUAGCGGGGGAUAACUAUUGGAAACGAUAGCUAAUACCGCAUAAUAUUAAUUAUUGCAUGAUAAUUAAUUGAAAAGUGCAAUUUCACCACUACCAGAUGGACCUGCGUUGUAUUAGCUAGUAGGUGAGGUAACGGCUCACCUAGGCGACGGUACAUAGCCGACCUGGAAGGGUGGUCGACCCCACUGGGACUGAGACCCGGCCCAGACUCCUUCGGGAGGCAGCCGUAGGGAAUCUUCGGCCAUGGGCGGAAGUCUGGCCGAGCCACGCCGCGUGAGUGGAGAAGGUUUUCCGGUCGUAAAACUCUGUUGUGAGGGAAGAACGGGUGUGAGGGUGGAAAGUUCACACUGUGACGGUAUCUUAACAGAAAGCGCCGGCUAACUACGUG